rnacentral:lncRNA from 1 species
AGGGGCGCCUGGGAAAUAUCCUGUGCGCGUCUCUAUUAUGAUCGAGUGUAAAUGAGGGCCGCCGGCAGGCUGGAAACUAGCUACUGCGGUAGCAGUUGCUCUCUGAAGCCGCAAGGUAGGGGCGAUCGUCUGCCGCUGCCAGGAGAGCGGACGAUGCGGAGAUCCCUGAGCAAUCAUCUAAGAAGUCUGAUCACCUGAAUAGACCACAUGGAGAGACUGUGGGAGCACAUGAAGAGAGGUGGGCAGGGGGAACCCAGCUGCAUCCAACAAUCCAGAAAUCCCUAUCAAGAUGCUAGACAUGAAGGAAACCAUCUUGGAUCCACCAGAUCAACCUAGCCACCAGCUGGAUACCACUGAGAGAUGCCAGUGGAGCAGAAUUGUCCAAUAAGCCUUGCCCAAAUUUCUCACCCACACAAUCAUGAGUAUAAUAAAAUGAUUAUUGUUUUCAGCC